CUACGGGGUGCUGCAGUGGGGAAUAUUGCACAAUGGGCGCAAGCCUGAUGCAGCCAUGCCGCGUGUAUGAAGAAGGCCUUCGGGUUGUAAAGUACUUUCAGCGGGGAGGAAGGGAGUAAAGUUAAUACCUUUGCUCAUUGACGUUACCCGCAGAAGAAGCACCGGCUAACUCCGUGCCAGCAGCCGCGGUAAUACGGAGGGUGCAAGCGUUAAUCGGAAUGACUGGGCGUAAAGCGCACGCAGGCGGUUUGUUAAGUCAGAUGUGAAAUCCCCGGGCUCAACCUGGGAACUGCAUCUGAUACUGGCAAGCUUGAGUAUCGUAGAGGGGGGUAGAAUUCCAGGUGUAGCGGUGAAAUGCGUAGAGAUCUGGAGGAAUACCGGUGGCGAAGGCGGCCCCCUGGACGAAGACUGACGCUCAGGUGCGAAAGCGUGGGGAGCAAACAGGAUUAGAUACCCCGGUAGUC
rnacentral:rRNA from 1 species